rnacentral:rRNA from 1 species
CUGGUGCCAGCAGCCGCGGUAAUUCCAGCUCCAAUAGCGUAUAUUAAAGUUGUUGCAGUUAAAAAGCUCGUAGUUGAAUUUCGGGGUUAGUAGAUUGGUCGUGCCACUGGUACGUACUGGUCUUACUGAUUCCUCCCUCCUGAUGAACUGUAAUGCCAUUAAUUUGGUGUUGCAGGGAAUCUGGACUGUUACUUUGAAAAAAUUAGAGUGUUUAAAGCAGGCUAACGCUUGAAUACAUUAGCAUGGAAUAAUGAAAUAGGACGCUCGAUCCUAUUUUGUUGGUUUCUAGGAUUGACGUAAUGAUUAAUAGGGAUAGUUGGGGGCAUUAGUAUUCAAUUGUCAGAGGUGAAAUUCUUGGAUUUAUUGAAGACUAACUACUGCGAAAGCAUUUGCCAAGGAUGUUUUCAUUAAUCAAGAACGAAAGUUAGGGGAUCGAAGACGAUCAGAUACCGUCGUAGUCCUAACCAUAAACUAUGCCGACUAGGGAUCGGAUGAUGUUAAUUUUUUAAUGACUCAUUCGGCACCUUACGGGAAAC